GAUGGUACACACUUAAAAAUAUUUCACGACCUCGGUUAAAAAUACUGCCGAAAUUUGUCGGCUCUUUCGAUUCUUGCUGAUAUGUCAGUUGAAAAAUCCCAGUAGUCGAAAAUCAGUACCAUUUAAAACUGAAAUAUCAGUUAAAUAAAUAUUUCAACCGAAACUCGGCAACCCAACUUGCCGAGAACAUACGUUAACACUGCUGUCACCGAGCUCGUCCGUCAAAAUAACCGAGAUUUCAGCUUUACUGUUUGGAUUAGCCGAGGCUCGGUAUUUUAUCUGUCAUUCGCCAUUCUGUUAAUCUCGUGCUAAUGAAACGAAAACUUUUCGGAGUGAUGUUGUGAUGUAAAAGUAAAAGUGUAAAAAUACAAGUGAAAAUGAGUGUCUCAGCGUGAUAAAAAACCGAGUAUCAGUAGCGUGCGAUCGAGCACGGGUAUGGAACGGGGUUGGGGUUAGGAAACUCCAUCAGCGCACGCAAUCGGUGCUCUUCAGAGCGUCACUCGGAGCAGUCCCUAUUGAAGGAUCAUAUAUGGAAGCUAAUCCGAUUGGUUCAACCUUAGCCAGGCCGUUCAGACUUCCAGGAUUCAUUUCCGGUCACCUACACGAGUAAAACCGUGCCUGUACCAGUGCCCGCUCCUUGCCCGGCUCAUUUUCCUGUAAAUAUACCACAUCCAAACGCUGUGCCCCAUCCGGCGGAUGAACCAAUGCCUGUCCCUACGCUUCACACCAGAAAUCUCAUAAGAAUAGGGUGACUUUCUGCCGUCCUGCUACAGUAAGGGGCACGAUAGUGACAUCAUGCUGCAGAAGGUUUACACCGGCCAUCAUCAUAGGCUCAGACUGCUAUGACUAUUUCUCCCAGUAAAUAAUAUUGUUUAUUUAUUUUACCUAAAUAAACCCACUUCAUACGCAAAUAAAACCACUAAAAUAAAGAUAAAA